rnacentral:tRNA from 1 species
UGCUUUUUAGUUUAUUCAAAAUAUUGUAUUUGUAAUACAAAGAAAAAUUUAUUUAGAAGCAA